UACGAAGGGGGCUAGCGUUGCUCGGAAUCACUGGGCGUAAAGCGCACGUAGGCGGAUUGUUAAGUCAGGGGUGAAAUCCUGGAGCUCAACUCCAGAACUGCCUUUGAUACUGGCGAUCUUGAGUCCGGGAGAGGUGAGUGGAACUGCGAGUGUAGAGGUGAAAUUCGUAGAUAUUCGCAAGAACACCAGUGGCGAAGGCGGCUCGCUGGCCCGGUACUGACGCUGAGGUGCGAAAGCGUGGGGAGCAAACAGG
rnacentral:rRNA from 1 species